rnacentral:ncRNA from 18 species
CGUUCUUUAUAUAAAGUACCUCAUAUAAUCUUGGGAAUAUGGCCCAAAAGUUUCUACCUGCUGACCGUAAAUCGGCGGACUAUGGGGAAAGAUUUUGGAUCU